rnacentral:lncRNA from 10 species
GAACUUGUGUUCUUUUCCCUGGGCCCGCCCGUGGCUGCCCACGGACCAAUCAGCAUGCACUUCCUCCCCUCUGAGGCCCAUAAACCCUCCCCACUACCCCCACCCCAGACUCCGCGGAGAAUGGAGAGACAAUGGAGAGAUGAGAAAACCAGCUGCAGAAAGGAACUACCCUCUCUGCUGACAGCUGGACACGCGGCAGGAUGACCUGCCUAGCAGAGAGAGCUACCCUCUCUGCUGAGAGCUGAACACUCAUGGGGACACCCUGGCUUCAGAGAGGAGCUGCCCACUAUGAGAGACCUGGAGGAGACUUCAUGAUUUUAUUCAUCCCCCAAGAUUUCCUCAGGACUGGUACCAUUUUCCAUCACUGUCUUCUGCCGUCAGCAACAUGUGAGCUUUCUCCACAGGUCAUUGGCAAGAAUUGUCUUGCAUAUUCAUGUCUGAACCAAUAACUAGGGAGGGAGAAGUGUGAUUUCAGCACAUUCUGAUAAACUCUGGUAACUGGGACUGGGAACAUCUUCUGAUAAGUCAUGGCUGUGCAGAAGAGCACAGAUACAUAAAUAAAACUGAAGUUCUCUUAUGAUAAAAGUUAUGUCAAGAAUGGAAGUUAUGUCCAGCGGAGCAGAAAAAAACCCUAAGUCCCUACAACUUU